AUCUCCGUCUCCCUGUCUCAAUCUCCAUCUCCCUUCCGAUCUCAACCCUCUCUCUCGAUCUCCCUCUCACUCUCCCUCCCUCUCUCUCGAUCUCCCUCUCCCGAUCUCAACCCUCUCUUUCGAUCUCCCUCUCCCGAUCUCAACCCUCUCUCUCGAUCUCCCUCUCACUCUCCAUCCCUCUCUCGAUCUCCCUCUCGUUCUGUGUAACAGGUGUGGAGCCUCUAGCACAAGUGGUGAAUGCGCCAACUGCUGCAGAUCAGGGCCAAGCUGCUACUCCAGCAGUGGUCGCAGUGGUCAUUGCUCUAGGCCUUGUGCUAAUCUGCUUGCAGCCGCUAGGGCGAAGAAUCGUGGCCGUCGAGUUCUGUAAUGGCAUCAAUGACCUCAACAAUGUCAUCUUUCCGGAGGUCCGUGGAAGCUCUGCCAAGGUAUUUUUGUAAUUCCGCCAUCUUUCCUGCCUUUUUGUCGUUGUAAUCGGUGAUUCAGGAGUUAGGAAGUCAAAUCCGCUCUCGAGGUUCACCAGGAAUGAGUUUAGGUCGACGAUUGGGGUCAAGUUCGCAACUCGGAGCUUGAACGUCGACGAGAAGGUCACCAAAGCUUAGAUUCGGGGUUUAGGCAACAAUUCAUGGCAGUGGUGGUAGUAGAACUUCUGUUUCUGAGGGCGUGGAAGCAUCUGCCAUUUAUAUUCACUUUAAGGCAGCAGCGGGUGAGCCCUGUAUGAAGAUUCAGUUUAGAGUCUCAUCUUUUGCAAUUCACUUACUUGAGAAGGGAACAAAGGAUUAAGAAACACAUCAUUUGCAGGUUAGUUCUCAUUACACAAACUAUAUACGUAAGGCAGUAAAUUUUGUUAACUUGACAUGUUCGACAAAAUGCCAGUCUUCUACUAGUUGUAAUAAAUAAAGGAAGCUUGAUUGUGAACAUUGUACAUUUAUUCUUCUAUAGACAUGAACACAUAAUUAUAUAAAGUUUGCUACUAGUAUGCUUAUCUGUGUCCUUUUUUCUUUUUUCUUUUUUCCUUCCACAGACAAGCACACAAAUACAUAUAUAUUGUAUAUUGAAACCUCUAACAGUCUGUCAACGAUCACAAUACAUGUUUAGACUGUCAGUCCACAAUGUAUGCUUACCUAAGAAUGGGUUCCUUUUCAGCAAAUCUUUUGCUUUAACAUGAUUUUUUUUUUCAGUCGGUAAAUGUCAUUCCUAGAGCAUACUGCUCCACUUCUUACUAGAAUGAUAAUGUUCAUUAUUUGCACUGCAGGUAGGAAAUGAGUGCAUAUUAUUUGGAGCAUGCUACAAUUAAUCAUAUCCAAAAACAGUUUGAAAUUUUGAAGAACCUCUCUCCUUACUUUCA